UAGGGUAUAUUGGGCAAUGGUCGAGAGACUGACCCAGCCAUGCCGCGUGCAGGAAGACGGCCUUAUGGGUUGUAAACUGCUUUUAUACAGGGGUAACAGUAGGUACGCGUACCUAUUUGAAAGUACUGUAAGAAUAAGGAUCGGCUAACUCCGUGCCAGCAGCCGCGGUAAUACGGAGGAUCCAAGCGUUAUCCGGAUUUAUUGGGUUUAAAGGGUGCGCAGGCUGAUGUAUAAGUCAGUGGUGAAAUCUCCCAGCUUAACUGGGGAACUGCCAUUGAUACUGUAUGUCUAGAGUUUAGACGGCGUAGGCGGAAUAUGUCAAGUAGCGGUGAAAUGCGUAGAUAUGACAUAGAACACCGAUAGGGUAGCCAGCUUACGAGGCUAAUACUGACGCUCAAGCACGAAAGCGUGGGGAUCAAACAGGAUUAGAUACCCUGGUAGUCCACGCAGUAAACGAUGAUCACUCGUUGUCGGCGAUAGACAGUCGGCGGCCAAGAGAAAUUGAUAAGUGAUCCACCU
rnacentral:rRNA from 1 species